CAAUAGCGUAUAUUAAAGUUGUUGCAGUUAAAAAGCUCGUAGUUGGAUUUCUGGUGGGAGCGAUCGGUCUGGCGCUUAGCGCGAGUACUUGCAUCGUCUCCGGCCAUCCUUGGGGAAAGUCUGUCUGGCAUUAAGUUGUCGGGCAGAGGAUCCUCAUCGUUUACUGUGAAAAAAUUAGAGUGUUCAAAGCAGGCUUAUGCCGUUGAAUAUAUUAGCAUGGAAUAAUAAGAUAGGACUUUGGUACUAUUUUGGUGGUUUGCGCACCAAAGUAAUGAUUAAUAGGGACAGUUGGGGGUAUUCGUAUUCCGUUGUCAGAGGUGAAAUUCUUGGAUUUACGGAAGACGAACUACUGCGAAAGCAUUUACCAAGGAUGUUUUCAUUAA
rnacentral:rRNA from 1 species